rnacentral:tRNA from 1 species
GCCGCCUUGGCGCAACUGGCAGCGCAGCGCCCUUGUAAUGCGAAGGUUGGGGGUUCGAGUCCCCCAGGCGGCUCCA